UUGGAGGGCAAGUCUGGUGCCAGCAGCCGCGGUAAUUCCAGCUCCAAUAGCGUAUAUUAAAGUUGUUGCAGUUAAAAAGCUCGUAGUUGAAUUUCGGGGUUAGUAGGUUGGUCAUGCCUCUGGUAUGUACUGGUCUCACUGAUUCCUCCUUCCUGAUGAACCUUAAUGCCAUUAAUUUGGUGUUUUGGGGAAUUUGGACUGUUACUUUGAAAAAAUUAGAGUGUUUAAAGCAAGCUAACGCUUGAAUACAUUAGCAUGGAAUAAUGAAAUAGGACGUUCGAUCCUAUUUUGUUGGUUUCUAGGAUUGACGUAAUGAUUAAUAGGGAUAGUUGGGGGCAUUAGUAUUCAAUUGUCAGAGGUGAAAUUCUUGGAUUUAUUGAAGACUAACUACUGCGAAAGCAUUUGCCAAGGAUGUUUUCAUUAAUCAAGAACGAAAGUUAGGGGGUCGAAGACGAUCAGAUACCGUCGUAGUCUUAACCAUAAACUAUGCCGACUAGGAAUCGGACGAAGUUAAUUUUUUAAUGACUCGUUCGGCGCCUUACGGGAAAC
rnacentral:rRNA from 1 species